CAGGAUGUAGCUCAGUGGUAGAGUACUUGCUGAAAGUGUGCAAGGUCCUGGGUUCAAUCCCCAGUACCCAGG
rnacentral:tRNA from 1 species